CGAGUGUCCCCACACCCAGGUGUCCCCACAGCUGGCUGUCCCCACACCCGAGUGUCCCCACACCCGAGUGUCCCCACACCCAGGUGUCCCCACAGCUGGCUGUCCCCACACCCGAGUGUCCCCACACCCGAGUGUCCCCACACCCAGGUGUCCUCUUCCGAUCUGGGACACGUCCGUGUGCAGGGUGCGCUCGUGGGCCUCGUCCACCAUGAUCACACUGGGGACGGGAACAUUGGCGUGGGGACAGGGACAGGGACACGGGGACAGGGACACGGGGACAGGGACAGGGACACAGGGACAGGGACACGGGGACAUCAGGGGACACAGGGACAACAGGGGACGUGAGGACAGCAGGGACACCAGGACAGCAGGGGACAGCAAGGACAGCAGGGACAUGGGGACACGGGGACACGGGGAUACGGGACAUGGAGAUAGGAGACAUGGGGACAUCAGGGAACACAGGACAUGGGGGACAUGGGGGACAUGGGGCAAUAUGGGACACGGGGACACGGGGACAGGGGGCCAUGGGACACAGGAAAUGGGAACACGAGUGGGAGGGGCCAGAAACGGUUGGGGCAGAGUGGGUGGGGUCAGAUGUCAGGUGGGGUCAGGGCGUGGCCAGAUGUGCUGGCAGUGCCCAGGUGUGCCCAUGGCCAGGUGUGCCCAGGUGUGUGGCUGUGCCCAGGUGUGUGCCCACGCCCAGGUGUGUGCCCAUGCCCAGGUGUGUGCCCAGGUGUGCUGGCAGUGCCCAGGUGUGUGCCAGGUGUGUGUCCAUGCCCAGGUGUGUGCCCACGCCCAGGUGCGUCCAUGCCCAGGUGUGUGCCCACGCCCAGGUGUGUGCCCAGGUGUGUGUCCAUGCCCAGGUGUGUGCCAGGUGUGUGCCCACGCCCAGGUGUGUGCCCAGGUGUGUGUCCAUGCCCAGGUGUGUGCCAGGUGUGUGCCCAUGCCCAGGUGUGUGCCCAGGUGUGCUGGCAGUGCCCAGGUGUGCUGGCAGUGCCCAGGUGUGCCCAUGCCCAGGUGUGUGCCCAGGUGUGCUGGCAGUGCCCAGGUGUGUGCCAGGUGUGUGUCCAUGCCCAGGUGUGUGCCCAGGUGUGUGCCCACGCCCAGGUGUGUGCCCAGGUGUGCCCGUCUCACCUUGAGCUCCUCGGGCAGGUCGCUGUAGUCGAUCUCGAUCAGCGCCUCGCGCGCGUACAGGCUGGAGCUGCGCUGGGAGCUGCCCCCGGGCUCCUCGCCAGUGCCACCGCCCUGGGGACACGGGGGGGACAUCAGGGGACAGGGGGGACAUCAGGGGACAUGGGACACACAGGGGACACACAGGGGACAUGGGACACACAAGGGACAUGGGACACACAGGGGACAUUGGGACACACAGGGGACAUUGGGACACACAGGGGACAUUGGGACACACAGGGGACAUUGGGACACACAGGGGACAUUGGGACACACAGGGGACAUUGGGACACACAGGGGACAUUGGGACACACAGGGGACAUUGGGACACACAGGGGACAUUGGGACACACAGGGGACAUUGGGACACACAGGGGACAUUGGGACACACAGGGGACAUUGGGACACACAGGGGACAUUGGGACACACAGGGGACAUUGGGACACACAGGGGACAUUGGGACACACAGGGGACAUUGGGACACACAGGGGACACAGCUGGAGCUGCUGCCAGGGUCCUCCCCAGUGCCACCGCCCUGGGGACACACAGGGGACACAGAGGGGACACAGAGGGGACACAGAGGGUGGCUCAGGGCUGUCCCCUGUCCCUGUCCCACCUCCUCCUGGCUGAUGUCGUCCAUGGAGCCCCGGGCCAGCGGCAGGCGGAUGUCCUGCAUCUUGCAGGCCUGCAGCAGGUUGUGGCGGUCACUGCGCUUCUGCUCCAGCUUCGUCUCGAUGGCCGUCACCUCCUUCUGCAGGUGGGUCAUCUCCCUGGGGACAGGGACAGGCUGUGGGACAUGGGGACA
rnacentral:lncRNA from 12 species